rnacentral:antisense_RNA from 1 species
CUUAAGAAAUACCUGAUGAUGAAGCCGGGCACGGUGGCUCACGCCAACACUUUGGGAGGCCGAGGUCCCAAGAUAAAGAACGCCAUUCAGGAAUCGUGCAGGCAUAGCUAGACCGGAUGGGCUUAUGUCAAAUGACUACAGUCAAGAUCCUGGUGCUUAGAGUGGGCAAAACCUGGAUCUCACUCCAUUGCUAAGGCUGGAGGAAAAAUGUGGCUUCCCUGGUAGC